rnacentral:ncRNA from 1 species
UGGAAAGCUUAGAUGAGGAAUAGUACCUUGUACAGCAUCUUUCAGAGAGUCGGAGCUAGGGUGUGAGCCGGCAGAUGUUAGUCUUGAGAACUCGCCUCGGAGCUAGAAGGUGAACCGCCUGAUCCUGGAUCAGAUGCGCUAGCUGGAUCGUCUCACCCGCGUUAAGGGGCAGAGUGAACACAGGUGAAGAACGCCUUGUGUUAACUAGGGUGGUACCACGGGAAUUAUACCUCUCGUCCCUAGC